UACUUAACGCGCGGGGAGAAGGAGGCUGGAGAUGGCGGCGGCGGGGAGGGGGCUGUAGUGCUGCCGGUUUGCGCCUGAGCUUUCGCUUCGUCUCAGGCCGCGCCUGAGAGAGGAGCCCCCGCGGGAAGGGGCGGGGUGGGGGGCUGCCACCAUCCUGGGGCAGCCCGGGCCGCGCCCCGCCCACUAAAGAAGAAUGUCGUUGUUUAAAGCUAGAGACUGGUGGUCCACCAUACUUGGAGAAAAGGAAGAAUUUGACCAAGGCUGUCUGUGUGUUGCUGAUGUUGAUAAUAGUGGCAGUGGACAAGAUAAAAUUAUUGUGGGCAGUUAUAUGGGAUAUCUCCGAAUCUUUAAUCCACAUCCUGUGAAACCUGGAGAAGGAGUACAACCUGAAGACUUGCUCUUGGAAGUGCAGUUACGAGACCCAAUAUUGCAGGUGGAAGUGGGAAAAUUUGUUUCUGGUACUGAAGGACUUCAUCUGGCUGUGUUGCAUUGCCGAAAACUCUGUGUAUAUGCUGUCUCAGGAACUCUGGGAAAUGUGGAACAUGGGAACCAGUAUCAGAUUAAACUUAUGUAUGAGCACAAUCUUCAGAGAACUGCUUGUAAUAUGACUUAUGGUCCAUUUGGUGGUGUAAAAGGUCGAGAUUUGAUAUGCAUACAGUCCAUGGAUGGGAUGCUCAUGUUGUUUGAACAGGAAAGCUAUGCUUUUGGUCGUUUUUUACCUGGUUUUCUUCUGCCUGGUCCUUUGACUUACAGCUCUCGGACAGAUUCUUUCAUUACAGUGUCAUCUUGUCGACAGGUUGAGAGUUACAAAUACCAAGUGCUGGCAUUUGCGACAGAUGCUGAUGAAAGACAAGAAACAGAACAGCAAAAACUUAGUUCUGGAAAAAGGCUUGCGGUGGAUUGGGUUUUAAACAUCGGAGAGCAAGCACUGGAUAUAUGCGUUGUCUCCUUCAAUCAAGCAGUUUCUUCUGUUUUUGUGCUUGGUGAGAGAAACUUCUUUUGCCUUAAGGAUAAUGGGCAAAUUCGGUUCAUGAAAAAGCUUGACUACAGUCCGAGUUGCUUCAUUCCUUAUUGUUCAGUGAAAGAAGGAACAAUAAACACUCUAGUUGGAAACCAUAGUAAAAUGCUGAAUGUUUACCAAGAUGUUACACUGAAGUGGGCCACUCAACUCCCCCACGUUCCUGUAUCAGUAAAAGUAGCAAAUUUACAAGACUUGAAGGGUGUUAUAGUCACUCUGAGUGACAAUGGGCAUCUUCAGUGUUCCUACCUUGGAACUGAUCCUUCACUCUUCCAGGCUCCUAGGGUUGAUUCUAGGGAGAUAAACUAUGAAGAAUUUGAUGCUGAAAUGAAAGAACUUCAAAAAAUCAUCAAGGAGGCUACAAAAACACAAGAUAUUUUGCCCAAAUCUAAAAAACACAGAGAUCUAAUUGUCACAGCAGAAGUUUCGCCUGAUUUGGAUGCAGAAUCUCAAGCCAUUGACAGUGAGGUAAAAGCAGAGGCUGUACCAUCAGUCACAGUAAAGGUAACAAUACAGAGCAAAGUGACCGCACAGAAACCCAGCCUGGCAGUAUGUGUACAAGCUCCAUUAGCGGUGACCUGUGACCAGUUCAUCUUUGAUGAUUUAGAACCAGAUUCAUCUGAAACCGUGGUCCUGUCUGUCUUUUUGAAGGGGAAUUGUUCUCCAUCAGAACUAGAAGGAAAUUGUGUAGUUUCAUAUAAUACACCAACAGAGCUCAAUCCUGAAGGAAUAGUGAAAGUUGCACAGUGUAACUUCAGGCUACCUUUGCGGUUAAUUUGCUUUCCAGCUCAACCUUCAAAAGCAGCAAACCACAAGCUAACUAUUGAUACCAAUAAACCUCCCAUCAGUUUUCUCACCAUUUUUCCAGACUUUGUUGAUCCGUCUGAGGAUGACCAGGCAAAUGUUCUGGGAUUUCAGUUUUUAACUGGUUCAAAAACCACUCUUCUUGCUUCAAAAACAUCACAACGAUAUAGGAUCCAGAGUGAUCAGUUAGAAGACCUUUGGCUGAUAACAAAAGAGCUCACGCUUAGACUUGAAGAACAUUUCAAGAAGCAAAACUGUAAAGAUUUUGCGUGUACCUUCUCUGGUUCAAUUCCCCUGCAAGAAUAUUUUGAACUAAUUGAUCGACAUUUUGAGCUACGUUUGAAUGCUGAAAAAUUUCAGGAGCUGUUAUCUGAAAGGGCUGUACAGUUUCGAGCUAUUGAGCGGCGAUUGCUGACACGAUUCAAAGACAAAACUCCUGCUCCUCUUCAACAUCUGGACACCUUGCUAGAAGGAACAUUCAGAGAGGUAAUAGCUCUAGCAGAUGCAGCUGAAGAAAAUCAAGCCAACAUGUUCCAGGCAUUCACAAAGUUGAAAAGUGCCACCCAUCUGGUGAUUAUGCUGAUUAGUUUGUGGCAGAAGCUCAGCACUGAUCAAGUUGCUAUUCUGGAAGCUACAUUUUUGCCGUUAGCAGAAGAUACACAAGAACUGGGUUGGGAAGAAACUGUGGAUGCUGCCAUUUCUUACUUGUUAAGAACUUGUUUGUCAAAGAGCUCUAAGGAACAGGCCCUGACUCUGAGCAGCCAGUUGUGCAUGCCCAAAGACACUAGCAGACUGAAGAAGAACAUCACCCUAUUCUGUGAUAGAUUGGCCAAAGGUGGUCGCCUUUCCUUAAGUACAGACUCAGCCACCCAGCAAGCUGCUGUAAUGCCAGGUGGCUGUGCUACAAUCCCAGAGUCUGAUUUAGAGGAAAGAACAGUUAUACCGGGCUCCGCAGCAACAUUUCCCAAUCACAGUCAGAUCGCAAAGCAGAAAUCCAAACCUGGAUUUUUGGAUGAUCUAUAAAAUGAAACAUUGAGAACUUCAUAAUGGGGUAUAUGAAGAUGGAAGAUUUUUGUCUUGAUGAGAUCAGGUUUGUCUGAGGAUGCAGCAGAGGAAACAGAAAAGCCAUGAAAUCUGAAGAUGACCCUCAGGAGGAAUUUCUAUCUGAUGUGAAAUGCAUUUAUAAUGCAGCAGUACCAAUCCAUUUUACCCUGUACUGAUUGCAGCUUCCAGGAGGAGAGGACUGUGCUAAUUUAUACAAAAAAAGUUCUGUUCUAGUAAUUUUGGUUGGGUCUCCCUGCCAACUACUGGCAUCCUUUCUGUGAGCAAAGCCUAAGCACUUACACAACUGUGGUAGGGGUGUUGUGUUAUGUUUUGCGAUAUAUCAGCCCUUUCUUAAGGAUUCAGUUGAUUGAUCAAAGACUGUUUACACAUAGUUAAAAGCAACCUUUGUUUCAGGAUAUGUUUUAUCUUUUUUUUUUUUUUUAGAUAUUCUGAACUAUACCUCCCUUUAAGAUUAUACUAACAUUUGUUAUAUCACAGUUUUGACAAAAGAUAACUAUCUUGUUUCCUCCUGUACUAACAUUCACGAUUCUAGACAGCUGAACUCACCGCCAGAAGAAAAACUGGUAAUCCAUCAACCUUGUUUCCCUCUCUCAUUGCUUAUAUAGACUCCUGCUCUCUAGAGAUACAGAGUAAAAUAUGAUUACUGGACAUAAAGGGCAAACCCUUUUGCCAUUAACUAUGUCACUAUGAAUGUAAAUAAAGUUUACACUGUAAGUACCUUGAGCGGAGCAACACAUGGAUCUUUUUAUGGUUACCUGUGAUUCCUGUUUUUCUUGUCAAUCAGUCUGUUCUAGUUAUGGGUAAGAUUUUCAAAAGUAACUAGCAAUUUCUGAGUGCCUUAAUUUUUAUUAAUCCAGUUGGAGGGUUCUUUGAGGGGUUGAGUUUUUAGAAAGUGCUGAGUAUUUGCCUUCUGAAAGUCAGGUCCAUGCAUGGUGCCUGAAAUGCAAUACCCAACAGCUGAAGCGACCUUUGAGAGCACCUUGGCCUAGGCUUUAGAUGCGUCAGGCUCGUGUAUGGAUUCCAGAGUGUGAGUUGAGAUAACAAUAAAAGAUAGAACUGAAAAUAACUGAGGUCUGGGUCAAGUGUAAAAACUGACAUUUGAAUGAGGUCUCUCCUGACUGUUGCUGGCUUAUACCAAAAUACAACCUGCAGUCUUUUGAAUGGUGGAUAAAAAAAGCACUGCUGGUCUCCGCUUAGUUUCUGGUGGAUGCAAUUGCAUGAGCAAUCUCCGUAUCCCACGCUCCUGCUGGUUUCCUCAACGGGGGUUUACCAACUCCUGCUCUAGCUGUAGAAGAGGUCCCUCCAACUCACUUUUGUGCUGUUCAGCAGAAGUUGUGACAGUUGCUGUGGUCUGUACUAGACUUAGAUCUGUGGAUAAAAAGGAAACGUUAUUUCUCAGGUUGUCUUAAGCCAUGAACAUUCAUCAAUCACCUCCAUAUCGACUUUCAGCCUCUUUGCAUCCACCCCCAAAACAAAACCAGCUUUGUACCACUUGUGCAUAUGCUGCUUAACCCUCUGGUCCUACUCUGGCUCAGCAAACAUGAUAUGACCAUGUUUCAUGGAGCCUUUUUCAACAUGUUAGCUAUUAAAUAGGGCUAAGUAUCCAGGGAACUGGGUAAGGCUUCUGAUAACUCUAGGACUGAAGUCGGCAGCAACUCCCAGUGAAAAUUACUUUGUCCCCCAUGAGACCUCAGAUAUCUACAAGUUGUGGAGCCAGAAAUCUUGCUUCUUUCCCAGGAAAAAUCCCACCCCCUGCCUGUUAUGGAGUGAUUCUGCUGGCGAGUUUUUGUCACUCUGAUCUCUCCCCUGUGGUUUUUGUCAGGAGGGUGGUAUCCAAUCUAUUGUCAAGGUACCCUGCUGCGCUGCAAAAAUUAGACAAUAAAAUGAUCUCCUGUAGUCUCUGUACACAUCUCAAUGACCAAAGAAAAUCCAUGGAGAACUAAUCAAUUACUGUAGCUAUUAGGCUUAAACUUUAACUAUAGAUCUCAAAUCUUCUUUUGUCCUUUUGUCAGCGACUACUAGGUAAUCUAGAAAAAUCAACCGUGGUUACUACUGGAAGCCUGUACCAAAAUGGUGUAGAAUCCCGGACUAAAGAAUUCUGAACUAUAGGUGUAUAAUAUAGCUGGAAAGCAUGCUACUAUGAGACUUCUGUGAAAUAUAUUACUCUGUCAUAAUUACCAUUAUUGAAUGUGAUCCUAGUGCUCAGAGCUGCCUGGCUUCAUUGGGAGUUUAGGGUAAACAACAAGUAGGCGCUCAGGUCAAUUAUAUCAUCCACUCUUAUUUAAGUUAUUUUCUGUCAUUUUAAGAUGUAAGGCUCAGAAGCGCUCUUAUUUGCCUUUUCUGCUCCGUGCUUUGUGAAAUGAGGUCUCACGAGAAUAGUUUUAUAGAAAGGGGAAAACAUACUGCUAAUAAAGAGGCAGGGAGGGGGGGAAGUAGAACUGUCUAUAGUAGUAAUGUAUGACCUCUUUGUAUAUUGCACUAAAUUGUGGUAUUUGAUAGUAUCAUCAGGAUUUAAGAGACAUACAGUUGCAUUGAGUUAAAAUUACUUAGUUUCCCUCCAAUGCCAAAUAGUCCAUCUAACUCAGAGGAAGGAAGUCAUUGAAAUGUAGUCACUUACGCAGCAGGCUAAGAGGAAACAUUGUAAAGUAAUUCUUAGCAGUUCUCAAAGGUAGUUUGAAUUUUUAAGCUAUUUUUGGCUGGAAAAAAUUCAAGCCAAUUACAGGAAGUUUUGAAGUUAAAGAGUUGGCAAACUGAAAAAUAUAAGGAAACAUUACUACUUUGGGGGGACCAAAUGUUUGGUUCUCACCGACAAUGUUUCUGAGACCAAGACAGACAUUGCUGGCCAAAUAAGACUAUUCUGAAUAGGAUUUGAGAAUAAUGCCCGGUCAGCUGUUCUGGUCAGCUUAAAUAUGCAGCUUGUCUGCACGUUUAGCUGUUCAAGGAGAAUUUGGUAUGUUAGGUGGCUCACAGGUAAAAAUAAAUUUUAAAUGAUCAUUUUAUUGAAAUUAUUUUAUAUAUGUAUAUCUAAAAGGAAUUUUGUGACAUUUUGGAAACCAUGCUCUGAGUCAUGGCAAAUUUAUUAUAUUUGUGCUAUAGCACUUUGAAAUGCAGUUUCUAAAAUAAGCCCUCAUGUAAAAUAUAUACAUUUUAUUUCUGUUAAACGGGUAAAUACUUCUAGAGCUUGUUUUCUCAGUAGAGUUUAUUCUCUGAAUGUUGUAGUCCAAGGGCUCUUCUUUCAUUUUGUUUUUGUGCUGUUGCAAUUUAGAAAAACAGAUUAAAACAAUUACUACUCUGA